AAACGACUCUCGGUAACGGAUAUCUCGGCUCUCGCAUCGAUGAAGAACGUAGCGAAAUGCGAUACUUGGUGUGAAUUGCAGAAUCCCGUGAACCAUCGAGUCUUUGAACGCAAGUUGCGCCCGAAGCCGUCAGGCCGAGGGCACGUCUGCCUGGGCGUCACGC
rnacentral:rRNA from 1 species